GACGAACGCUGGCGGCGUGCUUAACACAUGCAAGUCGAGCGGUAAGGCCCUUUCGGGGUACGACGAGCGGCGAACGGGUGAGUAACACGUGGGUGACCUGCCCUCCAGCUCUGGGAGUAAGCCUGGGAAACCGGGUCUAAUACCGGAUAUGACUCCAUGACGCAUGUUGUGGGGUGGAAAGCCUUGUGCGGCUGAGGAUGGGCCCGCGGCCUAUCAGCUUGUUGGUGGGGUGAUGGCCUACCAAGGCGACGACGGGUAGCCGGCCUGAGAGGGCGACCGGCCACACUGGGACUGAGACACGGCCCAGACUCCUACGGGAGGCAGCAGUGGGGAAUCUUGCGCAAUGGGCGAAAGCCUGACGCAGCGACGCCGCGUGAGGGAUGACGGCCUU
rnacentral:rRNA from 1 species